AACAGGGCAAGGUGGGAGUUCCAAGCAGAUAGAGGAGGAGAGAGUAGGCGGAGUGAGUGAGAAGCCUUUAACCCCGCCGGACAGACGCUGGACAGAACUUUACCCGGCAACGAGCCAGAUCAUUUCCAGUGCCCAGGGGCAACACAGCAACAGGAGGCACAACGGGCAAGUUGGCUUUGUCUGAGGAGGCAGGCAAGGAGAAGAAUCCAGCCUACUGUGCCGUCUCCACCACACACCAAUACCCGGAAUUGAGGAACGUCUCUGAAAAAUUUGAGCCUGAGAUAGGAGGAAAGAGAAAAUGAAGAAGGAUAACUGGAAUCUACCAGGUCCUGAGCAGAUAAGUCACUUCUUAUCUCUCAUGCCUUUGACCCUGUUUUCUGUUGUGGAACAAACUUUAACUGGGUAAAGCCCUGUGAUACAGCCCUCGUCUAUACCCACCCUUGCUCUGGGCCAUUCUCCAGGUUGAACACCUGCCGAGGGUUUAGCAUAUACUGGAACUUCCACAUCACCCUGUGUGAAAGGAGAAGACAAUGUGGCCCGGCUGACAGCACUGAUACUCUGUCCUGUUUCCAUGGCGUCCCCCAAAGGACCCCUCCACACACAUCCCCUAAUCCCUCCACACUCCGGCUCACAUCUGCUCACCUCUGCCCCUGCUUCCCUCCACUCUUAGGAUUGACAAAGACUAGAAGCGGAUGGGUGUUAGAAACAGGGUCAAUCUGCAGUAGGCACAGAAAAUAAGAAUAAAGAAAGCAUGAUUUUGUCAAAGCUAAAGGUGGGGCCUUCAGAGACAUAAACUGGCAUUUCCUAAGACGUUUCCCCUCUCCUGUUUCAUCUCCCCUCUCCUCCGCGACCAAGGUGAACCAUUUAGGCAGCAGCUAUACCCUGCUUUCUAUUCCUCCCAAGAAGGCUCCAGUCAAAAGCUAGCAUGACCUUUAGGCCCAAGCCCCUCAUCCCUGUACCCUAAGAGCAUCAAUGGUAGACAGGCUUGCGUCAUCUGCGGUCUUCAGUUUGCGAUCUGGUACAGAUGCCUGGGAAGGGAAAGAAACGGUGGAUUAUGCAGGAAUCAAAUGCAUGGGUGUCACUGGAACACGAAAGGUCCUGGCUCUCUGUUCUAAAUGUCCCUCUGGCUGGGUAUGGUGGCUCACACCUAUCCUAUAAUCCCAUCCCUUGGGAGGCAGAGGUAGGCAGAUCUGAGUUCAAGGUUAGCUUGGCCUACACAGCAAGUUUCAGGCAGGCCAGGGUUACAUAGUGAGAAACAAUAACAAAAAAACAACCCACAUCUAAGGAGAGGUGUGUUCAUGGUAAAGCAGGGAUAGGCUGUCCCUUCCCAGCUGCUGUGGACGGUCUCACCAGAACUGUGGGAUAAAUGGAAGACGGAGGCAGGAUAUGAUCACGGAGCGGCCCACAGUCACACUCGGUCCCCACAGCCUGCAGACAGUCGUCAUGGAUCUAGGAGCACAAAACGAGAACAAAUCAUGCAGGAUACUUUAUCAGUUCUCAACCUGAGAGUCUGGACAGGAAAGAAAGCCCUUGGGAGCAAGAAUGACUGUGGCAGAAGAAUCACUCGCUGGAGCAAGACCUGCAACCCUUGCUGCCAGGUUGUGGUAGAGAAUUAAAGUUUGCAGGGGCAAGCCUUAUCUCAGUCUCCUAAAAAGGCAAAUGCCACCUCCUAUCGGUCCCUACACUGUCCCCAUGGCUGGCUGGAACUAUGCCACCUCCUAUCGGUCCCUACAUCGUCCCCAUGCCUGGCUGGAACUAUGCCACUUCCUAUCGGUCCCUACACUGUCCCCAUGGCUGGCUGGAACUGACAUAGCAAGUUCUGGCCAGCCAAAGCUACACAGCGAAACCUUGUAUCAAUAAAAUAAUUGAAUCUU